rnacentral:tRNA from 1 species
UCCCUGGUGGCUUAGAUGGUAAAGAAUCUGCCUGCAGUGCAGGAGACCCAGGUUCAAUCCCUGGGAGGGGAA